rnacentral:rRNA from 1 species
AGAAUGAACGUUGGCGGCGUGGAUUAGGCAUGCAAGUCGAGGGCGAACCCGCAAGGGGGAGACCGGCGAACGGGGUAGGAACACCUCGGUAACGUACCCUUCGGACGGGGAUAGCGGCGGGAAACUGCCGGUAAUACCCGAUGAUCUGGCGAGCCUGUGAUGCUCGUCAGCAAAGGUGAGAUUCCACCGGAGGAGCGGCUGAGGCGCUAUUAGCUAGUUGGGGAGGUAACGGCUCACCAAGGCGACGAUGGCUAGGGGGUGUGAGAGCAUGGCCCCCACCACUGGCACUGAGACACUGGCCAGACACCUACGGGUGGCUGCAGUCGAGAAUCUUCGGCAAUGGGCGCAAGCCUGACCGAGCGACGCCGCGUGCGGGAUGAAGGCCUUCGGGUUGUAAACCGCUGUCGGGGGGGAUGAAGUGCACGAGAGCUAUCUCUUGUGUUUGACAGAGCCCCAGAGGAAGCACGGGCUAAGUUCGUGCCAGCAGCCGCGGUAAUACGAACUGUGCGAACGUUAUUCGGAAUCACUGGGCUUAAAGGGUGCGUAGGCGGUUCGCGAAGUCAGGUGUGAAAUCCCCCGGCUCAACCGGGGAACAGCGCUUGAAACUGGCGGGCUGGAGCGAGGUAGGGGUACGCGGAACUUCUGGUGGAGCGGUGAAAUGUGUAGAUAUCAGAAGGAACGCCGGUGGCGAAAGCGGCGUACUGGGCCUUGUCUGACGCUGAGGCACGAAAGCUAGGGGAGUGAACGGGAUUAGAUACCCCGGUAAUCCUAGCCGUAAACACUGAGCACUGGAGGGGGGCGGCUUCGGCCCUCCCCCUCGUAGCGAAAGCGUUAAGUGCUCC